GUGCCCAAGAAUAUUAAAUCUGAAGAACCA
rnacentral:piRNA from 1 species